UACGUAGGGGGCAAGCGUUGUCCGGAAUUAUUGGGCGUAAAGAGCGUGUAGGCGGUCCGGUAAGUCAGCUGUGAAAGUCAAGGGCUCAACCCUUGAAUGCCGGUUGAUACUGUCGGGCUAGAGUCCGGAAGAGGCGAGUGGAAUUCCCGGUGUAGCGGUGAAAUGCCGCAGAUAUCGGGAGGAACACCAAUGGCGAAGGCAGCUCGCUGGGACGGUACUGACGCUGAGACGCGAAAAGCGUGGGGAGCAAACAGGG
rnacentral:rRNA from 1 species